rnacentral:tRNA from 1 species
GGAGAGGUUAUAGCUCAAUGGUCGAGCACCUGCUUGGCAUGCAGAAGGUCCCAGGUUCAAGCCCCCACAUCUCCA